GAAGGUUGGUGGCUUCUAUGGUGGCGGUACAGUCGCCAGAUUCAUCCGACCGCAGCCGGUAUGCCUCACCUAAUGUUUAUGCCUGCCUGCCUUCCUGGAACCCAAGAGGACUAACAAGCAGCCAACUGCAGCGUGGUCUUAACCCCAGGCACGUCUUCAACCCCAGCAAAUCAACCCAAGGGCUCUGUCACAACUUUUCCUUGGCCAGCCAGGCCCCAAAGGGAGCAACCACCCUCAGUUCUAGCUCCCAGCCCAAAAUGGAGCCAGUUACCACCACUGCAGCAGCCUCUCUCCAGGAAGCACAUUCCAGUUCCUGAGGGUGUCCACCACUGCAUCAUGGGAUCUGAAGUCCAUCAAAGCCAGUAUAAAAUAUACAGAGAUAAACUGGACUGGUCCGUUAGGCAAUAAGCAGAAAGUAUUUCUGUUUUCCAUACACUAUCAGAAUGCUACAGCAUAUGUGUUUCCAGCACUGUAUGGGG